UACGUAGGAGGCAAGCGUUGUCCGGAUUUAUUGGGCGUAAAGGGCGUGCAGGUGGCAUAGAUAGUUUUUGUUGAAAUCUCCCGGCUUAACUGGGAGGGGUGCAAGAAUACUUCUAAGCUAGAGGGCAGUAGAGGAAAGUGGAAUUCAUGGUGUAGUGGUGAAAUGCGUAGAUAUCAUGAGGAACACCAGUGGCGAAAGCGGCUUUCUGGGCUGCACCUGACACUGAGGCGCGAAAGCAUGGGUAGCAAAC
rnacentral:rRNA from 1 species